AGAUUAUUAAAAAAAAAACCCCAUACUCUAGGAGACGGCAAAGAAAGGAUGGAAGUGGUUUGUUCAGGGAACUUCUGCAUAGGAUGAAAGCAUGGAAUCAGUUUUGCCUCCCUCCUGGCUGCUGGUUUGUGGCCCUCAGUCCUACAGGAAGGUCCAGGAAAUUUUUCUGAGAAUGGAAGAGGGUAUGUGUGGAGGCACAAGAAAACUCAUUUGGAGAAGAAAGAUGGUGCCAUGUCAAAGUGUCAGAUUGCAAGUUGUGAUAUUGCAUGUUACAAGCCACCUGUGACUUCUAUGUCCAUUGAACCAAACUAUUCAAAACUCAGCUGUCAGAGGAAAAAAAAACAAAAACCUGAGCAUUUCAGCAUCGUGACUGUGCUUGAGCAUCUGGACCUGACUGUUGCACUUCUGCCAGGGGACCAACUCCCACAUGCUCUUCCUUCCCUCACCCCUGCCUGUUUCCUCCUUACCCCCACCCUGAAGUCACUUUUCUUGAGAAAUGGGAAAGCUAUCAGCAUGUCCCCAUGCUUCCAGGGCAAUUUGCAGUCUGUCUUUGCUCCCAGAGGUGGGUGACAUCUGCCUUCUUUUAUGGGCUGGUCAGAGAGCAACAGGCAGUAGUGCCUCCAGGAAGUCUGGAGCUGUCCCUGUGCUGCGUGGGUGACACACGAGCAGGUGGAGGGGGCCUGGUGGGAGGUGAUGGGUGAUGGAGCACAGCCCAGGACCACCCACCUGCUCAGCUGAGACACGCCUUGGGAGGCUGUAAAAUCUUGCUUGGAUGGUGAAAGCUGGCAGAGAAAGGGAAAGGCAUCCAACUGCCAUGGCUGCUCUCUUUCUGGAAGAAAAAACUAUAAUUUAUAGUUGUGCUUUGAGAAUGACUUUUCCCCCCCUGUUUCUCUGCCUGUUAAAGACAUUUUUCUCUCUGCCUUUAAUAAAAGUAUUCCUUGGUAGGCCAUUUGUUUCCUGUUUGCCAGUGGGGACAGUUUGCUCCCUGAGUCCUUUGCUCUGCUCGUGGCAUCAUGAUAAU